GACCUGGUGGUGUAGUGGUGACACGCCUGCUAGAGAUUGCGUUCAGAUCUUGUACUUUUCAGCGGAGUUCCUUGUUCGAUUCAAGGCUAGGUUA